UUUAACUUUUAAAAUUUUGUGACCACCAUGAUUAAUCAAUCAACAUGUUUAGAGCUUCUGGACGCUAGAGACCAUAAAAAAAUAAAGUUAUAAAGCAGGAGUCAUUUUGGGACUCCGCAUCCCUGGUAUGUGUACUCCAAACUAUCUGCAACUGUGAUUAUAAAACUCCAUUCCAUAGAGUUUGUUUGUGAUGAUUAAUUUGCCAUCACAUAAAUGUAGCAAAUAUUAAUGAAGCUAUGUCAAUAAACAUAAUGUUGACACAAAAAUCCCAAAUCUCAAUUUAAAUGGUUCAUCUAAAUGUGUUAAAACGGAUGCAAGCACUAAAGAAGACAACGUUACAAACUGAAGCAGAAAUUUAUAACGAAUCAUGUAGACGAUUGGAUAUGAAUCGCAGAAAAGCACCAUUGUCGAAUGGUUAUGAAUCAAAUCUUUGUAUUAUAAUUGCGUAAAUAUAUUUUA
rnacentral:lncRNA from 1 species